UCUGAGAGACUUGAUUUCCUCAUAUUUAUGUAUUCAUUUAUUCAAAAAAUAUUGAGCAUCUACCCAUAUGCUAGGAAAUUGGGGAUACAGAACUGAAUGGAAAAUACAAAUGAAUCUGUUCUUAGGAGCUUUCAUUCUAGAGAGGGGAGAGGAUCUUUAAACAGGAUUUAAAAAGUGAAACAGGUUAAGUUGAGAUGAGGGUCUUGGAGAAAAAUAAAGUAAAGGGAAUAGGGAAAGCAUGGGGAGGUUACAGUUGCCUGAAGACCUUAAGGAGGCAAGGGACCAAACCAUACAGCUGUCAUUUAUAAAGAAAAGGCACUUGUAGUUAAAAUGCCUGGAAUUACAUGAGAUGAUUCCAGGAAAGUGCUUAGUAGAGAGUUAGGGCUCUCUACAUUUUAGCUGUUGUUACUGUUCUCCUUUCUGGUCAAGUGAUUACUAGUUUCACUUACCUCCAAAUCACCUUUCAGUUUUUACAUUAGAAUGAUGCAUCUAACAGGUUCAAAAAUUUUUGAUGGUUUUCCUUUUCCUUCAUGGAUAGCUAGGAGUACUAAACAGCCCUUCAUGAUUUGACCUUUGCCUACACAGACAGGCUCAAACCCAAUCUCAGUGUGAGCAUUUAUUUCCGACCCCCCACCUCUAGAUCACGCUCUCUUCCCAUGCUCCCCCCAACUUUGUGUCUGCUGCUGCUUCUGUCUAGAAUGUUUUCUCCUAUCCUCUUCAUAGACCCAGCCUGCUCCCACUGAGCCUUCAAGUCUCAUUCAUGUGUGAUCUCUUUGAAACCUUUGCUGACUUCUAUGACUGAUCUAGGCAUUCUGUCUCUUAGGAUUCAACUGUAUUUUUUUUUUUUUUUUUGGUAAAGAUUUUAUUUGUUUAUUUGACAGAGAGAGACACGUCAACGGAGGGAACACAAGCAGGCAGAGUGGGAGAGGGAGAAGCAGGCU